UACGGAGGGAGCUAGCGUUGUUCGGAAUUACUGGGCGUAAAGCGCACGUAGGCGGCUACUCAAGUCAGAGGUGAAAGCCCAGGGCUCAACCUUGGAACUGCCUUUGAAACUAGGUAGCUAGAAUUCUGGAGAGGUCAGUGGAAUUCCGAGUGUAGAGGUGAAAUUCGUAGAUAUUAGGAAGAACACCGGUGGCGAAGGCGGCCCACUGGUCCGGUACUGACGCUGAGGUGCGAAAGCGUGGGGAGCAAACAGG
rnacentral:rRNA from 1 species